rnacentral:rRNA from 1 species
UACGGAAGGCAGCAGUGGGGAAUAUUGCACAAUGGGCGCAAGCCUGAUGCAGCCAUGCCGCGUGUAUGAAGAAGGGCCUUCGGGUUGUAAAGUACUUUCAGUCGUGAGGAAGGUGUUAAGGUUAAUAACCUUAGCAAUUGACGUUAGCGACAGAAGAAGCACCGGCUAACUCCGUGCCAGCAGCCGCGGUAAUACGGAGGGUGCGAGCGUUAAUCGGAAUUACUGGGCUAAAGGGCACGCAGGCGGUUAAUUAAGUUGGAUGUGAAAUCCCCGGGCUUAACCUGGGAAUGGCAUUCAAGACUGGUUAGCUAGAGUCUUGUAGAGGGGGUAGAAUUCCAUGUGUAGCGGUGAAAUGCGUAGAGAUGUGGAGGAAUACCGGUGGCGAAGGCGGCCCCUGGGACAAAGACUGACGCUCAUGUGCGAAAGCGUGGGGAGCAAACAGGAUUAGAUACC